rnacentral:rRNA from 1 species
UACGUAGGGGGCAAGCGUUGUCCGGAUUUAUUGGGCGUAAAGAGCGUGUAGGCGGCCAGGUAGGUCCGUUGUGAAAACUCGAGGCUCAACCUCGAGACGUCGGCGGAAACCCUCUGGCUAGAGUCCGGAAGAGGAGAGUGGAAUUCCCGGUGUAGUGGUGAAAUGCGUAGAUAUCCGGAGGAACACCGGUGGCGAAGGCGGCUUCCUGGACCGAUACUGACGCUGAGGCGCGAAAGCUAGGGGAGCAAACGGG